GACAGAGGGUGCAAACGUUGUUCGGAAUUACUGGGCGUAAAGCGCGUGUAGGCGGCUCGGCAAGUCGGGUGUGAAAGCCCUGGGCUUAACCUAGGAAGUGCACUCGAAACUGCCAAGCUUGAGUUCUGGAGAGGAAGGCGGAAUUCUCGGUGUAGAGGUGAAAUUCGUAGAUAUCGAGAGGAACACCGGUGGCGAAGGCGGCCUUCUGGACAGCAACUGACGCUGAGACGCGAAAGCGCGGGGAGCGAACGGG
rnacentral:rRNA from 1 species